GACGAACGCUGGCGGCGUGCUUAACACAUGCAAGUCGAACGGAGCUUAAUGAUGAAGCUUGCGAUUCAUUAAGUUUAGUGGCGGACGGGUGAGUAACGCGUGGGCAACCUACCCAUAAGCGGGGGACAACAGUUGGAAACGGCUGCUAAUACCGCAUACGCUCCUUAAAAACACAUGUUUAAAAGGAGGAAAGAUGGCCUCUGAAAAUGCUAUCACUUAUGGAUGGGCCCGCGUCUGAUUAGCUAGUUGGUGGGGUAGAGGCCUACCAAGGCGACGAUCAGUAGCCGGCCUGAGAGGGUGAACGGCCACACUGGGACUGAGACACGGCCCAGACUCCUACGGGAGGCAGCAGUGGGGAAUAUUGCGCAAGUGGGGGAAACCCUGACGCAGCGACGCCGCGUGAGCGAAGAAGGCCUUAGGGUCGUAAAGCUCUGUUUUAGGGGACGAAUGUCGAGAGGAAUAAUACGUCUCUCGAAUGACGUACCCUAAGAGGAACGCCCCGGAUAACUACGUGACC
rnacentral:rRNA from 1 species